UACGUAGGGGGCAAGCGUUGUCCGGAUUUAUUGGGCGUAAAGAGCGUGUAGGCGGUUAUACAGGUCCGCUGUGAAAACUGGAGGCUUAACCUCCAGACGUCGGUGGAAACCGUAUGACUAGAGUCCGGAAGAGGAGAGUGGAAUUCCUGGUGUAGCGGUGAAAUGCGCAGAUAUCAGGAAGAACACCCGUGGCGAAGGCGGCUCGCUGGGACGUAACUGACGCUGAGACGCGAAAGCGUGGGGAGCAAACAGG
rnacentral:rRNA from 1 species